AACACGUGGGGAACCUGCCCCAUAGUCUGGGAUACCACUUGGAAACAGGUGCUAAUACCGGAUAAGAAAGCGGAUCGCAUGAUCAGCUUUUAAAAGGCGGCGUAAGCUGUCGCUAUGGGAUGGCCCCGCGGUGCAUUAGCUAGUUGGUAAGGUAAAGGCUUACCAAGGCGAUGAUGCAUAGCCGAGUUGAGAGACUGAUCGGCCACAUUGGGACUGAGACACGGCCCAAACUCCUACGGGAGGCAGCAGUA
rnacentral:rRNA from 1 species